rnacentral:rRNA from 1 species
UAAUACAUGCAAGUCGAACGAGAAAGUUCCCUUCGGGGAGCGAGUAAAGUGGCGAACGGGUGAGUAAUGCAUGAACGACCUACCUACAUGAUGAGGAUAACUACUCGAAAGAGUGGCUAAUACUCAAUGUGAUCCUGGCUCUAUGGAGCUUUGAUUAAAGAUGGCCUCUGUUUCAAGCUGUCGCAUGUUGAGGGGUUCAUGUGCUAUUAGAUUGUUGGUGGGGUAACGGCCUACCAAGUCUAUGAUGGCUAGCCGGCCUGAGAGGGUGUCCGGCCACACUGGGACUGAGACACUGCCCAGACUCCUACGGGAGGCUGCAGUCGAGAAUCAUACACUAAUGCGCGAAAGCGUGAUGUUGCGACGCCGCGUGGGGGAUGAAGGCCUUAGGGUCGUAAACUCCUGUCAUUUGGAGCUAAAACCGUAGAGUUAAUAACUCUUGCGCUUGAAGUGCCAUAAGAGGAAGCACCGGCUAAAUUCGUGCCAGCAGCCGCGGUAAUACGAAUGGUGCAAGCGUUGUUCGGAAUCACUGGGCAUAAAGCGCGCGUAGGCGGCGAUAUAAGUCAGCUGUGAAAUCCCUCGGCUCAACCGAGGAACUGCAGCUGAUACUAUGUCUCUAGAGUACUGGAGGGGAGAGUGGAAUUCCUGGUGGAGCGGUGAAAUGCGUAGAUAUCAGGAGGAACGCCGGUGGCGAAAGCGACUCUCUGGCCAGUUACUGACGCUGAGGCGCGAAAGCUAGGGUAGCAAACAGGAUUAGAUACCCUGGUAGUCCUAGCCGUAAACGAUGGCCACUAAGUAGCGGGACUCCAAAGGUCUCGCUGCCGGAGCUAAUGUAUUAAGUGGCCCGCCUGGGGAGUAUGGUCGCAAGGCUGAAACUCAAAGGAAUUGACGGGGGCUCACACAAGCGGUGGAGCAUGUUGUUUAAUUCGAUGCAACGCGAAGAACCUUACCUGGGCUUGACAUGUAAGUAGUACCAAUCCGAAAGGGGAGGGACCUUCUUUGAAGGAGCUUACACAGGUAUUGCAUGGCUGUCGUCAGCUCGUGUCGUGAGAUGUUGGGUUAAGUCCCGUAACGAGCGCAACCCUUGUCCUUAGUUACCAGCGGUUCGGCCGGGGACUUUAAGGAGACUGCCGGUGUUAAACCGGAGGAAGGCGGGGACGACGUCAAGUCAUCAUGGUCCUUACGCCCAGGGCUACAAACGUGCUACAAUGGUCGGGACAAAGGGCAGCAAGACCGCGAGGUGGAGCAAAUCCCAAAAACCCGGCCUCAGUUCGGAUUGGAGGCUGAAAUUCGCCUCCAUGAAGUCGGAAUCGCUAGUAAUCGCGGAUCAGCAAUGCCGCGGUGAAUGUGUUCCUGAGCCUUGUACACACCGCCCGUCAAGCCACCCAAAUAGGCCGCACCCGAAGUCGCCGACCCAACCGCAAGGAGGGAGGCGCCGAAGGUGAGGUUUGUGAGGGGGACUAAGUCGUAACAAGGUAGCC